GAUGAACGCUGGCGGCGUGCCUAAUACAUGCAAGUCGAGCGAACAGACGAGGAGCUUGCUCCUCUGACGUUAGCGGCGGACGGGUGAGUAACACGUGGAUAACCUACCUAUAAGACUGGGAUAACUUCGGGAAACCGGAGCUAAUACCGGAUAAUAUAUUGAACCGCAUGGUUCAAUAGUGAAAGACGGUUUUGCUGUCACUUAUAGAUGGAUCCGCGCCGCAUUAGCUAGUUGGUAAGGUAACGGCUUACCAAGGCAACGAUGCGUAGCCGACCUGAGAGGGUGAUCGGCCACACUGGAACUGAGACACGGUCCAGACUUCUACGGGAGGCAGCAGUAGGGAAUCUUCCGCAAUGGGCGAAAGCUUGACGGAGCAACGCCGCGUGAGUGAUGAAGGUCUUCGGAUCGUAAAACUCUGUUAUUAGGGAAGAACAAAUGUGUAAGUAACUAUGCACGUCUUGACGGUACCUAAUCAGAAAGCCACGGCUAACUACGUG
rnacentral:rRNA from 1 species